AUUGAACGCUGGCGGCAGGCCUAACACAUGCAAGUCGAGCGGAUGAGUGGAGCUUGCUCCAUGAUUCAGCGGCGGACGGGUGAGUAAUGCCUAGGAAUCUGCCUAUUAGUGGGGGACAACGUUUCGAAAGGAACGCUAAUACCGCAUACGUCCUACGGGAGAAAGCAGGGGACCUUCGGGCCUUGCGCUAAUAGAUGAGCCUAGGUCGGAUUAGCUAGUUGGUGAGGUAAUGGCUCACCAAGGCGACGAUCCGUAACUGGUCUGAGAGGAUGAUCAGUCACACUUGAACUGAGACACGGUCCAGACUACUACGGGAGGCAGCAGUGGGGAAUAUUGGACAAUGGGCGAAAGCCUGAUCCAGCCAUGCCGCGUGUGUGAAGAAGGUCUUCGGAUUGUAAAGCACUUUAAGUUGGGAGGAAGGGUUGUACGUUAAUACCGUGCAAUUUUGACGUUACCGACAGAAUAAGCACCGGCUAACUCUGUGCCAGCAGCCGCAGUAAUAC
rnacentral:rRNA from 1 species